rnacentral:rRNA from 1 species
UUUUUCAGAAAUGGAAAAGUGUCUCCCCUUUCCAAAAGGGAGAAACGAGAACAC